UGCGAACUCCUACGGGAGGCAGCAGUGGGGAAUAUUGCACAAUGGGCGCAAGCCUGAUGCAGCCAUGCCGCGUGUAUGAAGAAGGCCUUCGGGUUGUAAAGUACUUUCAGCGGGGAGGAAGGGAUGAGGUUUAAUACGCCUCGUCAUUGACGUUACCCGCAGAAGAAGCACCGGCUAACUCCGUGCCAGCAGCCGCGGUAAUACGGAGGGUGCAAGCGUUAAUCGGAAUUACUGGGCGUAAAGCGCACGCAGGCGGUCUGUUAAGUCAGAUGUGAAAUCCCCGGGCUCAACCCGGGAACUGCAUUUGAAACUGGCAGGCUUGAGUCUCGUAGAGGGGGGUAGAAUUCCAGGUGUAGCGGUGAAAUGCGUAGAGAUCUGGAGGAAUACCGGUGGCGAAGGCGGCCCCCUGGACGAAGACUGACGCUCAGGUGCGAAAGCGUGGGGAGCAAACAGGAUUAGAAACCCUGGUAGUCCAGAUG
rnacentral:rRNA from 1 species